UGGGGAAUAUUGCACAAUUGGCGCAAGCCUGAUGCAGCCAUGCCGCGUGUAUGAAGAAGGCCUUCGGGUUGUAAAGUACUUUCAGCGGGGAGGAAGGGAGUAAAGUUAAUACCUUUGCUCAUUGACGUUACCCGCAGAAGAAGCACCGGCUAACUCCGUGCCAGCAGCCGCGGUAAUACGGCGGGUGCAAGCGUUAAUCGGAAUUACUGGGCGUAAAGCGCACGCAGGCGGUUUGUUAAGUCAGAUAUGAAAUCCCCGGGCUCAACCUGGGAGCUGCAUCUGAUACUGGCAGGCUUGAGUCUCGUAGAGGGGGGUAGAAUUCCGGGUGUAGCGGUGAAAUGCGUAGAGAUCUGGAGGAAUACAGGUGGCGAAGGCGGCCCCCUGGACGAAGACUGACGCUCAGGUGCGAAAGCGUGGGGAGCAAACAGG
rnacentral:rRNA from 1 species